GUGUGUGAUGGCAGGCCUGCCGUGUGUUUGACCUGUUGCUGUGUGUUGCUGUGUGACUGCUAGGAUUUCAUUUCUAUGUAUGUUUUUUUCCCCAUAACCCCCUUCCUCCCUAGCUCUUUAGCUGUUGUCCCUGCUGGGUGGAUGCUGCCGGGCGACCAACGGCGGUGGCGGUGUGCAACGCGGGAGCUGCUGAGGUUUGGGGUAGCACUACGGUGCAGGUUAUGUAGGGUGUGUGAGUUUUUUUUUUGUGUGAGUGUCUUUUUUUUUGUGUGGGGUGUUGGCGGGGGACUUAGCUAAUCACUGUGUCAGGAAGGCAUGGGCGUGGCCGUCUGUCCAUCAGGCCGACGGGCGGGUGUGCCACCUGGCAGUCAGGCUAGCAGGUGACAGGCAAGCUAUCUGGCGGUCAGGCUGUCAGUCGGGCCAUCAGAUAGGUAGGCAGGCCACCUUGCGGUCAGGUUGUCGGGCGGGCACCCCACCCUCGGUCAGGUAGGCAGGCAGCAGCGUCUACGCUGAACCGUACGGCCACACGUACGAACGCACGGAACCCGUACGCUACGUUCCGCCGCACUGACGCUCGUCGUACCUCUGCUCGCACGCUUGCGGGCGGGUAGGGGGCGGGGGGCGGAUGGGCGGACGGGCGGGCGUACGUGGGAACGGGCGGGCGGACGGGUGGUCGGGCGGGUAGGGAGUCGGAGCAACGCUUGAAAGACGCGCAGAUAGAUGUCAGAUUCUCCCGUAGGGAGGUCUGGCAAGGUGAUAGUUUAGGCGGCGGAGUUGUACGCGGGCCAGUCUGUGUUACAGCUUUGCCGUCAGGGUAGCUCCUUACGAGCUGCCCAAACUGAGGACCAGUUUUCCUCACAGGAGGAGGCUGGUGGGGCCUAGGGUGUUAGGGGUACAACGGUUGGCUCUUUCACAGAACGGGUGUUUUCCGUUCUGCGUUUGAGUCUGCCGUCUUUGGGCGUCUCCCUCUGAGAUGUCGGUUAGGAUUUCUUUUUUUUAUAUGUCCGUGUGUAACUGUUGCCUUUUAGCCUGUUGUGUUCCUGAGCAGCAAGAAGAGGCGGCUGUGGUGACCCGCCCGAUGCGGAAGGCUUCUGGGCCCUGUCGGCGGGGGCGCACCUCUCUGGCUGACUGGUUGACCAGGCUUUGACCAGGUGGCCGGGGAGGCGCAUCCUCGCUGGGCGGGGUCUGGGGGCCCUCCGUCUUGGGGAGGUCGCUGCAGCAGGAGGAGGUAACUACUGCUGGUUUUGUAAGGCAUUGUGGUUGAGAGCACCUUGCAGCUGUAACGCGAAUUUCGUUCCGUAAUAAACAAUGUACCGCCAUGCUGCCUGUCCUUCCUCCCUCCCAGCACUGUGUACGUCUGUGUGUGUGUGUGUGUGUGUGUGUGUGUGUGUGUGUGUGGCUUAAUUCUCCCUCACUGCACUGUGCGUACGUCUGUGUGUGUGUGUGUUGCUCUGUCUCUCUCUCUCUCUCUCUCUCUCUCAAUCUGUCUCUCUGUCUCUGUCUCUGUCUGUCUCUCUAUCUCUCAAUCUCUCUGUGUCUUUCUCUCUCUCUCUCUCUAGUUAGUAAAGAACAGGCAACGUUUGCCAUGGAAGACUCUACAGUAUACAUAAGACUGCAGUGUACAUCCCAACCCUCUACGGCCGUUGCUGCUCCACCCGGGCAUUACCACAUCCACCCGGGUCUACAAGAAACCUCCACGGCCGAGCUUCAACCACAGAACACACCGCUACCGUUGAUGAGGUUCCACGCCCCGGACUACCGCCAUGUUAGCCUCGAUAAUAGUCCUCGGCGCACUUGUUCUGAGACGUCCUGACUGGAGAGCUACACAACACUGGUCAUCCGCUGAGUGGUUGAAUUCCUGGUCUACCGGCCCCUGGAGGAGUGGUCGAUUGCCUGGUCUACUGUGGAUAUGAGUGGUUGAUUCCCUGGUCUACCCCUGGAUGACGCAGCUGUUCCUAUGCAGGGGAAGACUCACACAAGCGAUAAGCACCUGUCGGACCUGGAGACUACCCCCUGAGCCUGACGGUGGAGCUGUGGGCCCUGCACCAGACCCCCACACCCCCCCACACCACCCACAGCAGGGGCAGGGCGUCGAGACUACCCCCACAGGCUAAGACAGGGAGGGACUUGAAGAUCCAGGUUUUUGUCAUCUGCACAGGAAUUGACACGUGACCCGCUGCAUGUUCUGCUGGAGAAAAACACUGCAUGACUGUUGUUGGGAGAAGACACAGCAUGAAGGCUUCCAGGAGCUGCAAGACAUCCUUGUGGUCAGGGCGCCUGGUCAUUAUGAUGGAGCGUCGGCAGAGAUCGAGCUGGCGGAAGGUUGGCGGCCGGGUCAAGCUCACCACCGACAAGGAUUUCCGUGACAUGCGCUCGGCCAAUGUUGUUGACCUCGGCUAUGACAAUCUUACUAAGGUGGUGGAGGUGGGGAACGGCAUCUACAUUGACGACGGACUCAAGGAGAUCGCUGAGACUACUACUAUUACUAUCCUCUAUACUGAUAUGUGUA